GUCUUCAAGUGUGUUCACCUGUUACUUCAGUGAACCGUAGUGGUCACUGGUGUAUAGGCUGGGCAGGCAGAUCACGAUCUGGAUGAGCAAGGAACAAGUGCAGCCUAGAACUACUGACAAUGUGGGUCGCUUGACAGUGUAUAUACAGUGUAGUGCAAUAAUGCCAUUGAAACAAGCCAAAGCUUUCCACUAUAGAUCACACGAUGCGACUAUGUGUAUAUGUAAAACACACUAGCUAACAAAUUGAUUGAUUUUAGCAUCGAUGUUGAAGCAAA